rnacentral:rRNA from 1 species
AACGCGAAGAACCUUACCUAGACUUGACAUCUCCUGAAUUACUCUUAAUCGAGGAAGUCACUUCGGUGACAGGAAGACAGGUGGUGCAUGGUUGUCGUCAGCUCGUGUCGUGAGAUGUUGGGUUAAGUCCCGCAACGAGCGCAACCCCUAUUGUUAGUUGCUACCAUUUAGUUGAGCACUCUAGCGAGACUGCCCGGGUUAACCGGGAGGAAGGUGGGGAUGAUGUCAAAUCAUCAUGCCCCUUAUGUCUAGGGCUACACACGUGCUACAAUGGCUGGUACAGAGAGAUGCGAUACCGUGAGGUGGAGCCAAACUUUAAAACCAGUCUCAGUUCGGAUUGUAGGCUGAAACUCGCCUACAUGAAGCUGGAGUUGCUAGUAAUCGCGAAUCAGAAUGUCGCGGUGAAUACGUUCCCGGGCCUUGUACACACCGCCCGU